rnacentral:rRNA from 1 species
GAUCAUGGCUCAGAGUGAACGCUGGCGGCAGGCCUAAUACAUGCAAGUCGAACGGCAGCACAGCAGAGCUUGCUCGUGUGGGUGACGAGUGGCGGACGGGUGAGGAAUACGUGGGAAUCUGCCCAGUCGUGGGGGAUAACGUAGGGAAACUUACGCUAAUACCGCAUGCGCCCUUCGGGGAAAACCGGGGACCUUCGGGCCUGGCGCGAUUGGAUGAGCCCACGUCGGAUUAGCUAGUUGGCGGGGUAAAGGCCCACCAAGGCGACGAUCCGUAGCUGGUCUGAGAGGAUGAUCAGCCACACUGGAACUGAGACACGGUCCAGACUCCUACGGGAGGCAGCAGUAGGGAAUAUUGGACAAUGGGCGCAAGCCUGAUCCAGCCAUGCCGCGUGAGUGAAGAAGGCCCUCGGGUUGUAAAGCUCUUUUGUCCGGAAAGAAAAGCGCCGGGUUAAUACCCUGGUGUCCUGACGGUACCGGAAGAAUAAGCACCGGCUAACUUCGUG